CAGCCCUCCUCCUCCUCUGCACACAGGAAACCUCAUUCUGUGGUGUGAACAGGGGGAUUCCCGUCUUCCUGAAGUGACUUAGUCUUGAGCUGCCUGUGCCCUUCCCAUCGCAGUGAAUGUUGCCAGUUGGGGAUGACUGGGCAGCCAUGGGGAAGGGAAAGAGCAAAAAAUUUUUUUCUUUCUCUGAGACAGGGAGUAAAGCACGUGGCAUCAAGACUGCAGCAGAAGGCCAGGCGCAGUGGCUUACACCUGUAAACCCAGCACUUUGGGAGGCUGAGGGCGGGGGUGGAUCACCUGAGGUCAGGAGUUCGAGACCAGCCUGGCCAACAUGGGGAAACCUCAUCUCUACUAAAAAUACCAAAUUAGCCAGGUGUGGUGGCACGUGCCUGUAAUCCCAGCUACUCGGGAGGCUGAGGCAGAAGAAUCACUUGAACCUGGGAGGCAGAGGUUGCAGUGAGCCGAGAUCAUGCCACUGCACUCCGGCCUGAGCAACGAGUGAAACUCCAUCUCAAAAAAAAAAAAAGAAGGAAAUAAAAAGAAAAAAAAAAAGACUGCAACAGAAGCGCAGGGCACCCUGGAAUGCCUGCAGCCUCUCAUCUUUAACCUCUGUGCUGGGAUCCAUCAAUUCCCUUCCCAUUUGACUGUCAAAUCAGAAGGGUCUUUGCUAAUUUCAGCAUAAAUCGGGAGAAAGCUGACCUCGAUUUAGCUGGAAUGACAGCGAUGACUAAUUUGUACACCAGAAUUAAUAAAGCUAGCUCUUGCCCCACAGGGAGAGAAAGAUGAUGUGGUUUUCUUGCAUCUGCACUAACUGAGAUUGCUUUUUGGCAAGGAUAGAGAAAUGCUCAUUCUCCACACUCCCAGGAGGGGGUCUGCUGACAGCUCCUGGACUGUCACCUGAAUUGGGGUGUGACUGGGCCAGAGAUGUCCCAAGCCAAC
rnacentral:lncRNA from 1 species